rnacentral:lncRNA from 1 species
CGCGGGAUGAGCCCGAGCCCAMGUGCAGCUGCGGCUGCUCCCCGAGGAGGGGCGGGGCGGGGGCGCGGGGUCAAAAGGCGCGACGCGGGAGGCGGCGCUUCCUGGGCCUGAACUUGGCUGACCCCUGCAGCUUCCGCUCUGCCCGCCGCCCUCCGCACCCCCGGGAGGACCUGGCUUCUCCUUGCUCCUUCUAGAAUCUCUGGCUAAAUUCCUGGGAGCCACAGCUUGAAGAUGACCUCUCCGGGCCAGCCCGAGCCCAAGGGCGCCCUCGGAGGAGCUGGGGCUGCAGCUUCGAGUGAGCACCCAGCUGGAGAGCAUCAUCCACCUGCUCACUGAAGUCCAGCAGGAUCUUCAAGAACACCACAGGCAGGUGGAAGCCUUCCUCCAGGCGGUGGACGGCCAGCCCGUGGAGGUGGGUCUCAGGUCCUGCAGGAGGGAGGGACGGCUUGGGCUCAGGGGUGGCCCCGUCUCACGCCCCCAUACGUGUGGCCCCAGGUGGGCCGACUCUCCCCUGGGAAACGCGCCGGCCAGGGCCACCAGGAGGCCCUGAGCCCCAGCUCCCCCCAGCUCCCAGAGGGCGGGAGCCCACAGGAGUCGGACUUCGAAGACGUGGUCACGGGAAGGCAGUCCGACUGGCUGCGGCCGGCCCAGU